GGGGACGUUACGGAUUCGACAGGGAUAGUUCGAGCUUAGGUUGCGAGUCGAGGGGAUCGGCCUCGUUAAAACGUCAAAGCCUAUAAUUGGCAAACAAAACAAUCUUUCUUUAGCUGCUUAAUUGCACUAAAGGUUCCUCCCUCCAUCGUCCAU
rnacentral:tmRNA from 1 species